ACGGAGCGACGCCGCGUGCGGGACGAAGGCCCUUGGGUUGUAAACCGCUGUCAGAGGGGAUGAAAUGCAGACGGGUUCUCCCGCCUGUUUGACAGAGCCUCAGAGGAAGCACGGGCUAAGUACGUGCCAGCAGCCGCGGUAACACGUACUGUGCGAACGUUAUUCGGAAUCACUGGGCUUAAAGGGUGCGUAGGCGGCUUGUCAAGUCGGGUGUGAAAUCCCACGGCUCAACCGUGGAACUGCGCUCGAAACUGACAGGCUUGAGUAUCCCAGGGGUGUGCGGAACUUCCAGUGGAGCGGUGAAAUGUGUUGAUAUUGGAAGGAACACCAGUAGCGAAGGCGGCACACUGGGGGAUAACUGACGCUGAGGCACGAAAGCCAGGGUAGCGAACGGGAUUAGAUACCCCGGUAGUCCUGGCUGUAAACGAUAAGCACUANUUUGGGAGGAGGUUCGCCUUUUUCNCNACGCANCGAAAGCAUUAAAGUGCUCCCCCCUGGGGGAGUA
rnacentral:rRNA from 1 species